rfam:Leadbetterella sp. JN14-9 contig9, whole genome shotgun sequence.
GAAAAAUGGAGCGGUAACCAAUUACAAAAACGGGAGGAGUCGAAAAUCCAAAAGAGUAGAAAACUA